CCAGGAUGUUGGCUUAGAAGCAGCCAUCAUUUAAAGAAAGCGUAAUAGCUCACUGGUCGAGUCGGCCUGCGCGGAAGAUGUAACGGGGCUAAACCAUGCACCGAAGCUGCGGCAGCGAACGUAUCACUUAAAGCGAUUCAGCGGGUUACGAUUGACGGAGCGAAGCGACGUCAAAGCGUAUACAAAGUCGAGUCGGUUUAAGGAUACGUUCGUUGGGUAGGGGAGCGUUCUGUAAGCCCGUGAAGGUGGCCUGUGAGGGUUGCUGGAGGUAUCAGAAGUGCGAAUGCUGACAUAAGUAACGAUAAAGCGGGUGAAAAGCCCGCUCGCCGGAAGACCAAGGGUUCCUGUCCAACGUUAAUCGGGGCA
rnacentral:rRNA from 2 species